rnacentral:rRNA from 1 species
AUUGAACGCUGGCGGCAGGCCUAACACAUGCAAGUCGAACGGUAGCACAGAGAGCUUGCUCUCGGGUGACGAGUGGCGGACGGGUGAGUAACGUCUGGGAAACUGCCCGAUGGAGGGGGAUAACUACUGGAAACGAUAGCUAAUACCGCAUAACGUCGCAAGACCAAAGUGGGGGACCUUCGGGCCUCACACCAUCGGAUGUGCCCAGAUGGGAUUAGCUAGUAGGGGGGGUAAUGGCUCACCUAGGCGACGAUCCCUAGCUGGUCUGAGAGGAUGACCAGCCACACUGGAACUGAGACACGGUCCAGACUCCUACGGGAGGCAGCAGUGGGGAAUAUUGCACAAUGGGCGCAAGCCUGAUGCAGCCAUGCCGCGUGUAUGAAGAAGGCCUUCGGGUUGUAAAGUACUUUCAGCGGGGAGGAAGGCGGUGAAGUUAAUAACUUCACCGAUUGACGUUACCCGCAGAAGAAGCACCGGCUAACUCCGUGCCAGCCGCCGCCGUAA